GUUCCUCUAAGUUCUUAGAGGACUGCUUUGCCUUUUGAUCUGAGAGUUGCAAAGUUCCAUAAAGAAUGGCCCUUGUGGAUAAGCACAAAGUCAAGAGACAGCAAUUGGACAGAAUUUGUGAAGGUAUCAUGAAUGGACUCCUGCACUCCCGACCCUUGUGGCACUCUGAGAUUGCACCAUGGAGACACCUAUCCUGAAGGACCUGGCCACUGUGGCCUUCUGUAACAAACAGUCCUUGCAAGAGAACCACGAAAAGGUUUUAAAUGAAGCCGUGGCUGCCAAGAUGUACCACCGUCACCCUAACCAGGGAGGACCUGGAAAAGUUCAAGGCCUUGAGAGUGAUUGUGUGGAUAGGUGUGGCCAUGACAACAUGGACAUCAAGGCCGCCUGCAAGCUCAGGAUUCCUGUGUGCAACAUCCCGUCCGCAGCCACAGAAGAGACAGCCAGCUACACCAUCUGCAACAUCCUCAGUCUGUACUGGAGGAACAAGUGGCUGUGCCAGGUACUGCGGGAAGGCACGUGGGUUCAGAGCGUGGAGCAGAUCUGCGAGGUGGCCUCAGAAGCCAUCUGCAUCCGUGGGGAGACGCUGUGGGCCUCAUCAGCUUCCGUCACAAGGGGCAGGUGGUUGCAGUUCAAGCCAAGGCCUUUGCAUUCAGCAUCAUAUUUUAUGACCCCAACUUGCAGGAUGGGAUAGAGUGGUCCCUGGGCAUUCAAAGGGUCUACACCCAGAGGACUUGCUAUAUCAGAGAUCAGAGUGACUGGGUCUCCUUGCACUGCAAUCUCAACGAACGUAACCACCACCUCAUCAAUGACUUUACUAUAAAGCAGAUGAGGCAGGGAGUAUUCCCUGUGAACACAGCCCGUGGUGGCCUGGUGGUUGAGAAAGCCUUAGCACAGGCCGUCAAGGAGGGCAGGAUCCUCACACUGGCUGGUACAGCGAGCAGGCAAAAACAGAGAUGAGGGAGGCGGCUGCCACCGAGAUCCGUCGUGUCAUCACAGGUCGCAUCCCAGAAAGUUUAAGAAACUGUGUGAAGAAGGAAUUCUUGGCCACAUCAGUGCCUUGGUCAGUAGUAAAUCAGCAAACAAUUCAUCCUGAGUUGAAUGGUACCACAUACAGAUAUCCACCAGGCAUCAUGGGUAUGGCUCCAGGCAUAUUCCCUGCAGCCACGGAAGGGAUUGUCCCUGGAAGCAUCCCAGUGACUCACAACCUCCUGACAGUGGCACAUCCUUCCUAAGCGCCCUCUCCCAACCAGCCCACAAAACAUGGGGACAAUUGAGAGCACCCCAAGGAGCAAUAGCAGAGAAUGCUGAAAGGUAAUCAUUCAGAUGCUAUUUGGGAUCAAGAGACAGUGAAAAUUAGAUGAACUAAGAGAAAAAGAAUCUAAUGGUCUUUUUUUAACUGAUUCUGGACCUAUGCAUUGUUGAUGUUGCAGUGUUAAAACUACAAGAGCUAGAAAACUGAAGAUGCGUCUGCUUACAGAAGCGCUGAAAGACGAAGACGUGAUUUCUUAAUGACCAACUUUGGUUAUUACGUGUUAAGUUUUUCAUCUGUCCAUCAAAUCACAAAGCAUAAAUAGAGCUUUUUCCUUUAUCAGUCCCGUGGGCACAGCAGGUCCUGAACACCCUGCACUAGAAUGUUGCAUCAAGAGUUCAAACAUCCAAAUAAAAAAUAUUAAGAGGAAAUCCCCAUCCUGUGACUUGAGUCCCUUCAGUCUACAGGGGCUGGUUACCUCUUUUUGCUAAUAGGAAGAUCACAUUACUACAAAAUGGGGAGAAAACUCUUUGCCUGUGGUGGACACCUGCACACAUAGGAUUGAAGACAGUACAGGAUACAGAGAAACGUGUCUCUCAGAACUACAUACUGAGCGGGAAAGUUGGUUGUAAAACCCUCUGAUGAUGCA